AUUGAACGCUGGCGGCAUGCCUUACACAUGCAAGUCGAACGGCAGCGGACCUUCGGGUGCCGGCGAGUGGCGAACGGGUGAGUAAUAUAUCGGAACGUACCUUUCAGUGGGGGAUAACGUAGCGAAAGUUACGCUAAUACCGCAUAUUCUGUGAGCAGGAAAGCAGGGGAUCGCAAGACCUUGCGCUGAUUGAGCGGCCGAUAUCAGAUUAGCUAGUUGGUGAGGUAAAGGCUCACCAAGGCGACGAUCUGUAGCGGGUCUGAGAGGAUGAUCCGCCACGCUGGAACUGAGACACGGUCCAGACUCCUACGGGAGGCAGCAGUGGGGAAUUUUGGACAAUGGGCGCAAGCCUGAUCCAGCCAUGCCGCGUGAGUGAAGAAGGCCUCGGUUGUAAG
rnacentral:rRNA from 1 species